GCUGGGUGCAGUGGCGCACUCCUGUAAUCCCAGCGGCAUGGGAGACUGAGACAGGAGGAUCACGAGUUCAAAGCCAGCCUCAGCAAAAGCAAGGUGCUCAGCAACUCAGCGAGACCCUGUCUCUA
rnacentral:sRNA from 1 species